rnacentral:rRNA from 1 species
UAGGGAAUCUUCGGCAAUGGACGAAAGUCUGACCGAGCAACGCCGCGUGAGUGAAGAAGGUUUUCGGAUCGUAAAACUCUGUUGUUAGAGAAGAACAAGGACGUUAGUAACUGAACGUCCCCUGACGGUAUCUAACCAGAAAGCCACGGCUAACUACGUGCCAGCAGCCGCGGUAAUACGUAGGUGGCAAGCGUUGUCCGGAUUUAUUGGGCGUAAAGCGAGCGCAGGCGGUUUCUUAAGUCUGAUGUGAAAGCCCCCGGCUCAACCGGGGAGGGUCAGUGGAAACUGGGAGACUUGAGUGCAGAAGAGGAGAGUGGAAUUCCAUGUGUAGCGGUGAAAUGCGUAGAGAUAUGGAGGAAAACCAGUGGCGAAGGCGGCUCUCUGGUCUGUAACUGACGCUGAGGCUAGAAAGCGUGGGGAGCAAACAGG